CUAACCACCGGCGUACCCAGCAGACCUACCCCGUCCAGUGCCAGUCAAGGUGACCCAUGGCAAUGCACAGGCAAGAUGUGUCCAGCUUCAACAUGACCCGCCUGUCCCUGGCUCUGGCUUUUACCUUUCCCCCAGCUGCCAAUGAACAACCCCACUCUGAGCUGGACAACACCUACCAACAGACUGAGGAGUUAGGAACGGAACGUACUACCACCAGAACUAUGCCCUACCCAUACCCAGCACUGACCCCGGAGCAGAAGAAGGAGCUGUCUGACAUCGCUCAACGAAUUGUGGCUCCGGGCAAGGGCAUCCUGGCUGCAGAUGAGUCCAUUGGAAGCAUUGGCAAGCGCCUGCAGUCCAUUGACACCGAGAACACCGAGGAGAACAGGCGCUUCUACCGCCAGUUGCUGCUGACUGCUGAUGACCGUGUGAAUUCCUGCAUUGGAGGUGUGAUCCUCUUCCACGAGACAUUGUACGAGAAGGCAGAUGAUGGACGUCCUUUCCCCGAAGUUAUCAAGUCCAAGGGUGGUGUUGUGGGCAUUAAGGUAGAUAAGGGUGUGGUGCCCCUGGCAGGAACCAAUGGUGAGACUACUACCCAAGGGCUGGAUGGGCUGUCUGAACGCUGUGCCCACUAUAAGAAGGAUGGAGCUGACUUUGCCAAGUGGCGCUGUGUGCUAAAGAUUGGGAAACAUACUCCUUCGCCCCUUGCCAUCAUGGAAAAUGCCAAUGUUCUGGCCCGUUAUGCCAGCAUCUGCCAGCAGAAUGGCAUUGUACCCAUUGUGGAGCCUGAAAUUCUCCCUGAUGGGGACCAUGACUUGAAGCACUGCCAGUAUGUAACUGAAAAGGUCCUGGCAGCUGUCUACAAGGCUCUGAGCGACCACCAUGUCUAUCUGGAAGGCACAUUGCUGAAGCCCAACAUGGUCACCCCCGGCCAUGCUUGCACGCAGAAAUUUUCCAGUGAGGAGAUUGCCAUGGCAACGGUCACAGCACUUCGUCGCACAGUGCCCCCUGCCGUCCCUGGGGUCACUUUCCUGUCUGGAGGGCAGAGUGAGGAAGAGGCAUCCAUCAACCUCAACGCUAUCAACACAUGUCCCCUGCUGAAGCCGUGGGCCUUGACUUUCUCCUAUGGCCGAGCCCUGCAGGCCUCUGCUCUAAAGGCCUGGGGUGGGAAGGAGGAGAACAUGAAGGCAGCCCAGGAGGAGUACAUCAAGAGAGCCCUGGCCAACAGCCUCGCUUGUCAAGGAAAGUAUACCCCAAGUGGCCAGUCUGGAGCCGCAGCCAGUGAAUCUCUCUUCAUCUCAAACCAUGCCUACUAACCAGAGCUGAUCUGAGGCAGCUGCAUCAACACUCCAUGCCCCUGCCUAUACACUUGCUAUUGAAGAGCGGCCUUCAGAUUCUUUUCCAUCACUCUUGCUGCCCUCAUGUGUGUGGUAUUGUCUGUGAAGGCUAAAUCUGCCAUCCCUUCCAGCCCACUGCCAGUAAACAACUAAUUAAGGGGGAAAAAAGAAAUAUUUGUGAAUGUACACAAUUGUGUAAACAACAAUAAAUACAAAUGAAGUCCAUAAAUUUAAAAGGAAGCAAGUAGGGGCUUAUGGAAGGAUUUGAAGAGAGAACAGGCAAGGGAGAAAUGUGAUUAUACUAUAAUCUCAAAAAUACAAAAUAAUAAAACAAAACAAGAAUUUGUUUCAACUGAAAUAAUACUUACGCCAUCCUUUUCACCUUAAACCAUUUAUCUACUUGCCCUUAUUCUCCUACUUGCUAAAAGGCUGUAGAAGAGUCUGUCAUUGCCUAUUAAGAGCGAGACAGUACUAUCCUUCUGUUUAUCCUAGCAUAAAUGACAGUCUCCUAGAAAAGGAGAUUCACAUCCAAAAUAAGGACUCAUAAAGACAAGCCAAGGAAAUUAAAAACAAGAUGAAAGACUCAGGUUAUCAUUCAUAUUUGUCAGUACUUGUUUCUGUAGUAGUGAAUUAAAGCAAUUCUCCGUGUUGAAAAAUAAAAUGAAGAUCA